rnacentral:lncRNA from 1 species
CUGUAAAACCUAUUCAACUGAAAACACAAUUCACAGAGUUUGAGAGAAACUGUAUUCAAGUUGCUGAAACCAAGAAGCUACACUCACGAGUCUCACCUAAACUCGAAUCUGAUUUAGAUGACAUCAUCCUGGACUUUGAGUUGAUGAAACCUUGGAGGUCUUGGGAGUAAAGAUGAAAACUCCCAUUUUAGGGAACCAAGACUGAAUUCCAUGAUUUACAUGGAUGUUUGGAAGGUGUCUGCAACUUAAUCUGUGUUCGUUU